CCUACGGGAGGCAGCAGUGGGGAAUUUUGGACAAUGGGCGCAAGCCUGAUCCAGCCAUGCCGCGUGAGUGAAGAAGGCCUUCGGGUUGUAAAGCUCUUUCGGCGGGGACGAAACGGUUCGCACUAAUACUGCGGACUAAUGACGGUACCCGCAUAAGAAGCACCGGCUAACUACGUGCCAGCAGCCGCGGUAAU
rnacentral:rRNA from 1 species